AUUGCUUUGGCAGAAAAGUGUGAUAGAUUUAGGAUCUUUUUAUGUAGUGUUAUAACUACAAGUAAUA
rnacentral:tRNA from 1 species